rnacentral:lncRNA from 1 species
UUAUUCCUGUUCUUGGGGAUUACUGGGUUUUGUAUAUUGAUAAUGAUUAUCAACAUGUUUUGGUUGGAGAACCUCGUCGAAAGUUUCUUUGGGUAUGUAUAUAUGAAUCAUAUAUUUAUAUAUGUUCAUUUAUUUUUAAUUUUUAAUUUCAUAUCUAAUUUGGUAUAUGUGUGUACUACUACAGAUCUUGUGCAGGCAAACCAAGAUAGAUGAAGAUGUUUACAAUCAGCUACUUGAGAAGGCCACUGAAGAAGGCUAUGAUGUUAAGAAGCUACACAAAACACCUCAAGCUGAUCCCCCACCAUUUAGUACUCUGGAAGACGAGGAUAACAAAGGCUUCUGGUGGAUCAAAUCUUUACUAGGAAAGUAGUUAUGUUAUUUAAUUUGUAAAUAAUUGCGCGCUUUUGCGUAUUGUAUUAAUGCUAUUAUGCAACCAGGCUUACUUGAUAAAAAAAAAACUAGGACUUAAUCGUACUCUUUCUCUCUCAAGUUCUCUGCAGUCUGCACCACUAAAUAACACGGUCUCGAGUCCACCACCACCACCACCAUAACAACACUUCAUCUUCGAAUCUGCAUUAGGUAAUUGUUUCAUCACAAGUAGAAUCAAAAUGAAAUUUUAACCAAAAGAAGUGAUACUAUGUUUGAAGUACUUAGGAAGAAGAUCAAUAGAGUUAUUAAAAUUUGUUGUUAAUUUUAAUAUAUCGAAAUUUGUCUUAUUAUUUUUGUAUUUUGAAUUGGAUUAAUUUAAUUUUAAAUUUGCUAACAUUCAUUGUAUUUCUAUGUUGCCCAGUUGCAAUAGUUUGGAUUUUAGAAGAAGAAGUAUUUUGGAGUUUGGGUCAGACUUUGUUUUGUUUGUUUGAUUUUAACUUUUAAGUUUUGAAUUGGAUAUGUUUCUUUGAGAUGGAUCUGUAUUGAACCCUUGUUGAAUUAUUUUGGAUCAGUUUGUUUUAAAUGUUAUUAAGGCCCAAAAUAUAGGCUCAGAUUAAAGCCCAAAUCGGUAACUGAACCGAACCAAAUUGAAUCGGUCCAGUCCGGUCCAAUUUUAACAAUAAAUUUUCAGUUCUUCAAACCGAACCGAACUAAUAUACACUGACUCUGUACAGUUCAGUUUCAAUUUGGUGGCAAACUUGAACCGAACCGUGAGCACCAGGGUCCUAGAUAAUAUUUUUCUUCUUCACCUUGCUAGUAGAGCCGUAGAGGACUCUUUUCCCGAUAGCAUAGAUUGCUGUGUUGUCCUCUGCUAUUAUCCAAACGAGUGGAAUGCACAUUAGUUUGGAUGUAUUACAUAGAAUAAAUUAAAUAUGUUUAGAUGUUUAAGUUAUUUUAUUAUAUUAUAUUUAUAUUAAGUUUGAUUAAUAAAAAUUAUUUAUUUAAUUAUUAUGAUUCAAUAUUAGUUAUUAUGAUUCGAUAUUAAGUAAGAAUACAUAUUAUAUAUAUGUAUAUAUAUAUUUGGUUUAUUACAAAAAUUGAAGGAAAAAAAAAAUCUGUUAAAAAAAACGGUAUAUAGUUGGGGUAUAAAAUAAAAUAUUCCAUUUAGUAAUAAUAGAAUUUUUGGAAAUUUGGUAGUAGCAUAACAAAGUUGGGAGAUGGUGCAUGUGAAUAUAAUAACCCCUACUAAUUCUUUUUACAACAACUUAAAAAUUUGUUUUAUAGUGACUGUUGAAUGCUUGAAUGCUAUAUACGUGUCAGAGUUAAUGUGAUUUGGAAGCUUUCUCGGUAUCGUGCGCCAUAUAAGCUGGGGAAGAAGUGAAAAUUACCAAUUCUACCCAGAUGGACUGAUUGUUGUAUACUGUAUCUUUAAGGGCAAACAGGUCAUUAAAAGAAAAAAAAUGACAUUAGCUCACUGUUCCAUCUUCUCUUUAUUAUUUUUCUAGUUCUUCUGUUUUGUUUUGGCUUUAAAGAUUCAGAUUUCAGAACAAAGAGUCUUCUUGCACAUCUUAGAAAAGGUCGUUAGUAAUCUUUGUGCGCUUUCCCAGUAUGCGGUAUAUACACAUUUUUGGAACAAACUGCAGAUCAAUAGACCAUGUACAAAUUAAUGGUUUGAUCAAUAACAUUCAAUUCAAUCAUUUACUAAAGCAAUGAAAAAAAAAUCUGUCAAUCUGAAUCUCUCAGUCGCUAGUCGCUUAACAUCACAUAGUUUUUGAACAAAAUUUAAGGCGGUCUUUGAAAGACUAAAAGACCUGCUAUGUGGUGAUCUAUCUACCCUGUGAGGAUUUAGAUAUAAUAUCAUAGAAGGCCUCGGCUCGCGUUAACUAGGUCCAUUACACUACCAUAUAUCCAAACCCCCACUGGAUUAUUUGGGCCAAAUAACUUACGCACCUAAUCUAUUAUACUAUAUUAAAGCAGAAAAUACCCCUAAGAAAAUAUCUCUUUAAUUAGGCUAUCAAUAAGACUGAAAUUGAUAGCCUAAUUGAAGAGAAUUUUGAUUAAGUUUGGGUAUAUUUGUAAUUAGGCAAAAGUGGACCACCAUCACAGAUAUAAUUAAGCCCAAUUAGACCAUGGGAAUAAUUAAGCUCAAUAAAAAAAAUUAAAAUAAUACUCAAUCCCAAGUAUAAUCAAGUCCAGCCCGUACCUAGUUGGACCAAAUCACAAGCAUAAUUAAAAUACAGUAAAACUUCGAUAAAUUAAUAGCCUUGAAACUAGAGAAAAUUAUUAAUUAAACGAGAUAUUAAUUCAUCGAUUAAUUAAUAAACUAUUAAUUUACAUAAACAAUAUAUUUUCAUGUAUGUCUUUCUUUUUAGGGGACUAACAUGAUGAAGCUGGAUAAUCAUUUUAUUCUAGAACCGGUUCCACAAAAAGAAACACUAAAAUCGAUAAUGAUAUUGGAAUAAUUUCUUCUUGCAAUACAAAAUACAACACCAGAUCAACUCAUCACACUACAAAAAUUUAGAAACGAGGUUCAAACCAAAAUCAAUUUUGAGAAAAAAAAAACAAUAAUUGACUUUCAUUAUAUAUAAAAUAUAAAAUAUAUUUGUAUAUCAAAAAAAUAUUAAUUUAUAUAUUAGUUGGGCCUUCAAGGAUUUUUCUAAAAUGUAUUAAUUAUCUAAUAAAUUUACCGAAAUAUUAAUUUAUCAACAUAUGCCCAAGUUCGGACCAGCCAAAAAUAUUAUUUAAAGGAGAUAAUUAAUUUAUCGGGUAUUAUCUUAUCGAGGUUUUACUAUAUCUUUUCAAUUAUGCUGAAAUUGAUAAAUUAAUUGAAAAGAAAUUCAUUCAAUUUUGGGUAUUUUUGUAACUACACAAAAUAAAUAAAAAUGGGUCAAUAUGUAAUUUCACAUAUUAAAUACAACAACCUUCAUAAGUAACCUUAACUUGAAUUCUUUAUAAGCAGUAAACCACAUUAUCACCACUAAAUCUAAUACCAGUAAUUGACUACCAUUGAUAAAAUGCUCUAACUCUAAUUUCUUUCAAUUCAGCAAUUUUAACUUCAAUAAAUUUACCAGUAAUUUUUUUUGAAUAAGUAGCUAAAUAAUUAUCUGGUGGAAGUAGUGAUUUACAUUGAAAUCACCAGAUGAUUUACUACAUUUGUACAACUUUUCCAUCUAUUAUACUCUAUUAAAGCUGGAAAUACCCUUUAAAAAACAUCUCUUCAAUUAGAUUGAAAUUAAUAGCUUAAUUGAAGAGAAUUUUGAUUGAGUUUGGGAAUCAAGUCCAGCCCGUACAAAAAAUACAGUAAAACCUCGAUAAAUUAAUAGCCUUGGAAGUAGAGAAAAUUAUUAAUUAAAUGAGAUAUCAAUUCAUCUAUUAAUUAAUAAAUUGUUAAUUUACAUAAUUAACAGUAUAUUUUUAUGUAUAUCUUUCUUCUUUUUAGGGGGGGGGGGCUAACAUGAUGAAACUGGACAGUCGUUUUAUUCUAAAACCCGUUCCACGAAAAGAAACACUAAAAUCGAUAAUGAUAUUGGAAUAAUUUCUUCUUGCAAUACAAACUACAACACCAGAUCAACUUAUCACACUACAAAAAUUCAGAGACGAGGUUCAAACCAAAAUCAAUCUUGAGAAAAAACAAGCAAAAAUUGACUUUUAUUAUAAAAAAAUAUAUAAAAUAUAUUUGUAUAUCGAAAAAAUAUUAAUUUAUAUAUUAGUUGGGCAUUCAAGGAUUUUUCUAAAAUGUAUUAUCUAAUAAAUUUAGCGAAAUAUUAAUUUAUUAACAUAUGCUCAAGUUGGGACCAGCUAAAAAUAUUAUUUAAAGGAGAUAAUUAAUUUAUCGGGUAUUAUCUUAUCGAGGUUUUACUGUAUCUCUUCAAUUAAGCUGAAAUUGAUAACUUAAUCGAAGAGAAAUUCAAAACUUACCAAGAUUUACAUUGAAAUCACCAGAUGAUUUAUUACGUUUAUACAACUUCUCCAUCUUCCUCUUCACUCAAAGUCUAUGUCUGCUUAUAUGCUUAUAUUUGAUCCAUGUAUAUAUGAUGUUUGCUGAAGAUCUCUCGACGACACAGAAAUCAAAACUCACCAGUAUUCUAAGUCAAAUGGGCAGCUAUGCAAGUUUAUUAAUAAGAUCAUUAAUAAUAUUAAUAUGAUAUUAUUGUGGACACACGUCAAACAUGUUUGUGAUAGUCAUUUUCAAUUACAUUCUAGAUUUGACAAAAAGUAUAUUUUAUAGGAAUAUGGAGAACCAGUAAUCUAUUUCUUUUCCUUGCACUUAUUAGGCAUUGACAAAAAGUAAAUGAAAAUAGAAAAUAAACUCCAAUAAAGAUGAUGAUAUAAUCUUCAAUACAUUUCAAUGGUGGGGAUACGAAAAGGGACCCAAGUAGCAGUAAGACUUAUUUACUGCAAUUUCAUGAAAUUUGAGUUUCCCUUAAUUUGUGAUCUAAUGUACGUAAAUGUGUUGCAGAUGGGACUAUAUUAAAAAAUGUCGCAAGAUUCACACAGACAUGGAUUUUAUGGUUGCCUUCCGGAAAUGCUUAACUACAGGCCUAUAAGGGAUCUCUCUGUCACAUUACAAGUAAGUCAUCUUUAUCAUCAUAAUAGUUUGUUAAAGAUUUCGAAUUUUCAUGAUGUUAACUGUUACAAGCCAAUUAAGAGACGCUCGACUGCUAAUGGACUACUGUGAAAUGAUUGUUUCCCAAAGUGAUGAAGCCUCAACAACCGAGCCAGACUAAAUUCUAAUUGAGACUUUGAGAAUUGAGAGUACUGCAAAAUCCCAUUCUCCUGAAUAUUUUCAAAUGUUUUGGGUUUAAUUUUCAUGUAUAUAUAAUAAUCAUUUAAUUUCAUUACUCAAAGAUUUAUAAUAAUUCUAAAUGAAAUCAUAUUACAAGUUACAAACCAAAAGCAAUAUAAAACCCCCAAAAAAAAAUUUUAAAACAAUCAGAUAUGCCCGUGCAUUGCACGGGCCUAAGGACUAGUAUCAACUUACAUACGAAUAAUAAACGAAUCAUAAACCUCCCCAUACCAACUGGAUUUUUAUGAAUAUUCGUGAAAUAUUUGAAAAGUACGAAAUUUACGAAAUUUUCGUAUCUGAAAUUAACAUAUUUAUUUUUAAAUAUAAUUCCCACAUUUAUUUAAUAAAAAAGUUUAAAUUUUUCUUGAAUAUUCGAGCUAUAUUUCGCGAGAAUUAUUUUGCCAAACCUCCCAAUUUCGACACUAGGGUCCGGAUAUUCACGGAAUAUACCGGUUUUUCAAGGAUCGGAUAUUCAAGUUUAUUCAAAAUUUUCAUCUAUGGUUCAUGGAUGCCCAUUGGCCAACAUUACUAACAAACCCACACGUUUGCAAUAGAGUGUUUAUCUUUCCCUUUCUUUCCUUUAUAAUAAGUACCAAAACAGGCAAACAUAAACAAGCCCAAAACAAAUCCUAAAUUUGUUUUCGUACAUUCAUACUAAAAAAAAAUGGCAAAGAAAGAAGCAAUGAAAGUUGUAAGAAAUCUAGAUUUGGAAAAGUACAUGGGCAUGUGGUAUGAAAUUACAUCAGUUCCAUCUUUUUUUCAACCAAAAGAUGGUACAAACACAAGAGCUACUUAUAAGUUAAAUGAUAAUGGUACUGUUAAUGUUGUUAAUGAGACUUGGAGUAAAGGUAAAAGGGUAUCUAUAGAAGGAUCAGCUUAUAUGGCAGAUCCUUCAAAUGAUGAAGCUAAGUUUAAAGUCAAGUUCUAUGUUCCUCCUUUCUUCCCUAAUAUUCCUGUUCUUGGGGAUUAUUACUGGGUUUUGUAUAUUGAUAAUGAUUAUCAACAUGUUUUGGUUGGAGAACCUCGUCGAAAGUUUCUUUGGGUAUGUAUGAAUCAUAUAUAUAUUUCUAUAUAUAUGUUCAUUUAUUUUUAAUUUUGAAUUCCAUAUCUAAUUUGGCCGGUAUAUGUGUACUACUACAGAUCUUGUGCAGGCAAACCAAGAUAGAUGAAGAUGUUUACAAUCAGCUACUUGAGAAGGCCACUGAAGAAGGCUAUGAUAUUAAGAAGCUACACAAAACACCUCAAGCUGAUCCCCCACCAUUUAGUACUGUGGAAGACGAGGAUAACAAAGGCA